rnacentral:misc_RNA from 1 species
ACAAAAAAAGAACAAACGCCACGUCGAAAAAGUUCUGCCACACAAAUUUUGGAAUCUUCGACACAGCCGUUCAGAACUAAACAAGCACAACAAGAGCUGGACAAAAACUUAGCUGUAUGGGACUCUACCGUAAAAAGUAUAAAAGACAGUUCUAAGUUGGAACAAUUGGAAUUGACAUAUAAAGAUGGUACAAUAAAGAGGAUGUGGAAAAUAAAUCGACCAAAAUCAGAC